AGCAGCCGCGGUAAUUCCAGCUCCAAUAGCGUAUAUUAAAGUUGUUGCAGUUAAGAAGCCCGUAGUUGAACUUCGGGGUUUACCCAUUGGUCAGGCUUAAUUGUCUGCACUGGUGAGAUGGAUCUCUACCUUCUGAGGAACUUUCAUGCCAUUUAUUUGGUGUGAUGGGAAAUCAGGACUGUUACUUUGAAAAAUUAGAGUGUUUAAAGCAGACUAUCGUCUGAAUACAUUAGCAUGGAAUAAUGAAAUAGGACGGACUGAUUCUAUUUCGUUGGUUUCUAGGAUCACCGUAAUGAUUAAUAGGGAUAGUUGGGGGCAUUAGUAUUCAAUUGUCAGAGGUGAAAUUCUUGGAUUUAUUGAAGACUAACUACUGCGAAAGCAUUUGCCAAGGAUGUUUUCAUUAAUCAAGAACGAAAGUUAGGGGAUCGAAGACGAUCAGAUACCGUCGUAGUCUUAACCAUAAACUAUGCCGACUAGGGAUCGGAUGAUGUUAAUUUUUUAAUGACUCU
rnacentral:rRNA from 1 species